rnacentral:rRNA from 1 species
UCGGGAAUUUUGGGCAAUGGGCGAAAGCCUGACCCAGCAACGCCGCGUGAAGGAUGAAGUAUUUCGGUAUGUAAACUUCGAAAGAAUAGGAAGAAUAAAUGACGGUACUAUUUAUAAGGUCCGGCUAACUACGUGCCAGCAGCCGCGGUAAUACGUAGGGACCAAGCGUUGUUCGGAUUUACUGGGCGUAAAGGGCGCGUAGGCGGCAAUUCAAGUCAUCUGUGAAAUCUCCGGGCUUAACUCGGAACGGUCAGAUGAUACUGUCGCGCUAGAGUGCAGAAGGGGCAAUCGGAAUUCUUGGUGUAGCGGUGAAAUGCGUAGAUAUCAAGAGGAACACCUGAGGUGAAGACGGGUUGCUGGGCUGACACUGACGCUGAGGCGCGAAAGCCAGGGAAGCAAACGGGAUUAGAUACCCGGGUAGUCCCUGAGCGGGCUGGCAAGGCGCAU